GCUUACAGGCGUAUCAUGUUGAAUGCACCAGUUCCUGUCUGAUGACCAUAGUUAAGCAACAUUGAGCUUAGUUAGUACUUAGAUGGGUGACCACUUGGGAAACUUAGGUGCUGUAAAUA
rnacentral:rRNA from 1 species